rnacentral:rRNA from 1 species
CCUACGGGAGGCAGCAGUGAGGAAUAUUGGUCAAUGGGCGCAAGCCUGAACCAGCCAAGUAGCGUGCAGGAGGACUGCCCUAUGGGUUGUAAACUGCUUUUGUACGGGGGUAAAGUGUGUCACUUGUGGCAUAUUGCAAGUACCGUACGAAUAAUGACCGGCUAAUUCCGUGCCAGCAGCCGCGGUAAU